CUACAACAAAGAACCAGGCCUAAAAACAAACAUCCAAAGCACCCAGGCCAGGGAGUGCUUGUCUGCUAAAAGCACUUUAGAGUGCACCCUCUCCUGGAGGGGUGAAGAAACCUCCUCUUACAGGCCUGGUGCCCCUGGCACUGAGAAAUUGGACAUGGUCAGGUCACUUGUGUUUGGCAAACUCCCUUUUGGCAUCUGGUAAGAGAAAUUGCUCAGGACUUGAAAAUAGAUCUGUGUUCCCAGAGUGCAGCUGUUAGCACUUUGCUGGAGGCAAGUGAGGCCCAUCUGGUUGGUGGUUUUUUUUUUUUUUAAUACCAGUCUGUGUGCCAUCCAUGCUGAAUAUGUAACAAUUGUGCCAAAAGACAUCCAGAUA
rnacentral:lncRNA from 1 species